GACGAACGCUGGCGGCGUGCCUAAUACAUGCAAGUAGAACGCUGAAGGAGGAGCUUGCUUCUCUGGAUGAGUUGCGAACGGGUGAGUAACGCGUAGGUAACCUGCCUGGUAGCGGGGGAUAACUAUUGGAAACGAUAGCUAAUACCGCAUAAGAGUAGAUGUUGCAUGACAUUUGCUUAAAAGGUGCAAUUGCAUCACUACCAGAUGGACCUGCGUUGUAUUAGCUAGUUGGUGGGGUAACGGCUCACCAAGGCGACGAUACAUAGCCGACCUGAGAGGGGGAUCGGCCACACUGGGACUGAGACACGGCCCAGACUCCUACGGGAGGCAGCAGUAGGGAAUCUUCGGCAAUGGACGGAAGUCUGACCGAGCAACGCCGCGGGAGUGAAGAAGGUUUUCGGAUCGUAAAGCUCUGUUGUAAGAGAAGAACGAGUGUGAGAGUGGAAAGUUCACACUGUGACGGUAUCUUACCAGAAAGGGAAGGCUAACUACGUG
rnacentral:rRNA from 1 species